rnacentral:rRNA from 1 species
CCCUUAGAUGUUCUGGGCCGCACACGCGCUGCACUGGCAGGUUCAUCGAGCUUCAUGCCCUGAUCUGAGAAGAACGGGAAAUCUUUGAACACCUGCCGUGCUUGGGAUAGAUGUUUGCAAUUAUUCAUCUUCAACGAGGAUUGCCUUGUAAGCGCACGUCAUCAGCGUGCAUUGAAUACGACCCUGUAUUCUGUACACACCGCCCGUCGCUCCUACCGAUUGAAGUUUUCGGUGAAUUUACUGGAGAUCCCUUUUGAAGGUGGUUCGCCACUGGAAGAAGUAUUCAAAAGUAAAUGAAUCGAAUGCUUUAGAGGAAGGAGAAGUCGUAACA